CACCCUGUUUUUACACCUGUUUAUCAAAAACAUGGCUUAUUGAAUUAUAAUUUUAAGUCAAUCUGCCCAAUGAUAUAAUUUAAUGGCUGCAGUAUAACUGACUGUACAAAGGUAGCAUAAUCAAUUGUUUUUUAAUUAAAAACUGGUAUGAAAGAAUUAAUGAGAUAUAUACUGUCUCAUAUAUAUUUUAUAAAUUUAAAUUUUUAGUAAAAAUGCUUAAAUUUUUUUAUGGGACGAUAAGACCCUAUAGAAUUUUAUAUUAAUAUUUCAAUUAUAAUUAAUUUUUAAUAUUAAUAUUUUAUUGGGAGGAUAGGUAAAUUAAUAUAACUUUAUUUUAAAUAAAAACUUAAAUUCAAGAAUAUUAUUUGAUCUUAUAUUAAAAAUUAAAAGAAUAAAUUACCUUAGGGAUAACAGCGUAAUAUCUUUUUAAAGAUCAUAUUGAUAAAGAUGAUUGCGACCUCGAUGUUGAAUUAAGAUAAAUUUUAAAUGGAGAAAUUUAAUAAUUAAGUCUGUUCGACUUUUAAAAUCUUACAUGAUUUGAGUUCAAAUCGACGUAAGUCAG
rnacentral:rRNA from 1 species